rnacentral:rRNA from 1 species
UACGAAGGGGGCUAGCGUUGCUCGGAAUCACUGGGCGUAAAGAGCGCGCAGGCGGUCGUGCAAGUCGCGUGUGAAAGCCCCCGGCUCAACUGGGGAGGGUCACGCGAUACUGCUCGACUCGAAGGCAGGAGAGGGAAGUGGAAUUCCCGGUGUAGUGGUGAAAUGCGUAGAUAUCAGGAGGAACACCGAUGGCGAAGGCAGAUCUCUGGGCCGUAACUGACGCUGAGGAGCGAAAGCAUGGGGAGCGAACAGG